rnacentral:rRNA from 1 species
GAUGAACGCUGGCGGCGUGCCUAAUACAUGCAAGUCGAGCGAACGGACGAGAAGCUUGCUUCUCUGAUGUUAGCGGCGGACGGGUGAGUAACACGUGGAUAACCUACCUAUAAGACUGGGAUAACUUCGGUAAACCGGAGCUAAUACCGGAUGAUAUUUUGAACCGCAUGGUUCCAAAGUGAGAGACGGUAUUGCUGUCACUUAUAGAUGGAUCCGCGCUGCAUUAGCUAGUUGGUAAGGUAACGGCUUACCAAGGCAACUAUGCAUAGACGACCUGAGAGGGUGGAUGGCCACAUGGGAAGUGAGACACGGUCCAGACUCUGACGGGAGGCAGCAGUAGGGAAUCCUCCGCAAUGGGCGAAAGCCUGACGGAGCAACGCCGAGUGAAUGAUGAAGGUCUCAGGAUCGGAAAACUCUGUUAGUAGGGAAGAACAAAUGUGUAAGUAACUGUGCACAUCUUGACGGUACCUAAUCAGAAAGCCACGGCUAACUACGUG